rnacentral:rRNA from 1 species
UACAGAGGGGGCAAGCGUUGUUCGGAAUUACUGGGCGUAAAGGGCGCGUAGGCGGCCUUCUAAGUCGAACGUGAAAUCCCCCGGCUUAACCUGGGAACUGCGUCUGAUACUGGGAGGCUAGAGUAUGGGAGAGGGAUGUAGAAUUCCAGGUGUAGCGGUGAAAUGCGUAGAUAUCUGGAGGAAUACCGAUGGCGAAGGCAGGUCUCUGGGUCGAUACUGACGCUCAUGCACGAAAGCGUGGGGAGCAAACAGG